AGAGUUUGAUCCUGGCUCAGGAUGAACGCUGGCGGCAUGCCUAAGACAUGCAAGUCGAACGAGAUGGCCCAUUGAAGAUUGAGUGCUUGCACGAUUUCCGAUUUGGAUUCUCCAUCUAGUGGCGGACGGGUGAGUAACACGUGGGUGACCUACCUUUGAGUUUGGGACAACUACUGGAAACGGUAGCUAAUACCAAAUGAUAUACAGUUUCGUUUCUGUAUUAAAAGGCGCUUUACAGCGUCGCUCUUAGAUGGGCCUGCGGCGUAUUAGCUAGUUGGUGUGGUAAUGGCUCACCAAGGCGACGAUGCGUAGCCGGACUGAGAGGUUGAUCGGCCACAUUGGGACUGAGACACGGCCCAAACUCCUACGGGAGACAGCAGUUAGGAAUAUUCGUCAAUGGGGGAAACCCUGAACGAGCAAUGCCGCGUGAGUGAUGAAGGUCCUUUGGAUUGUAAAACUCUGUUGCAUGGGAAGAACGGUCAGACUAGGAAAUGAGUCUGAAGUGACGGUACCAUGCCAGAAAGCUCCGGCUAACUACGUGCCAGCAGCCGCGGUAAAACGUAGGUGGCAAGCGUUGUCCGGAAUUACUGGGUGUAAAGGGAGCGCAGGCGGAAGGACAAGUUGGAAGUGAAACCCACGGGCUCAACCCGUGAACUGCUUUCAAAACUGUUUUUCUUGAGUGGUGUAGAGGUAGGCGGAAUUCCCGGUGUAGCGGUGGAAUGCGUAGAUAUCGGGAGGAACACCAGUGGCGAAGGCGGCCUACUGGGGCACUAACUGACGCUGAGGCUCGAAAGCAUGGGUAGCAAACAGGAUUAGAUACCCUGGUAGUCCAUGCCGUAAACGAUGAUUACUAGGUGUGGGAGGAUUGACCCCUUCCGUGCCGCAGUUAACACAAUAAGUAAUCCACCUGGGGAGUACGACCGCAAGGUUGAAACUCAAAGGAAUUGACGGGGGCCCGCACAAGCAGUGGAGUAUGUGGUUUAAUUCGAAGCAACGCGAAGAACCUUACCAGGUCUUGACAUCGGAUGCACAGCUAAGAGAUUAGUGAAGCCCUUCGGGGCAUCCAGACAGGUGGUGCAUGGUUGUCGUCAGCUCGUGUCGUGAGAUGUUGGGUUAAGUCCCGCAACGAGCGCAACCCUUACUGUUAGUUACUACGCAAGAGGACUCUAGCAGGACUGCCGUUGACAAAACGGAGGAAGGUGGGGAUGACGUCAAAUCAUCAUGCCCUUUAUGACCUGGGCUACACACGUACUACAAUGGCGUUAAACAAAGAGAAGCGAAGCCGCGAGGUGGAGCAAACCUCAAAAACAACGUCCCAGUUCAGACUGCAGGCUGCAACUCGCCUGCACGAAGUCGGAAUUGCUAGUAAUCGCGGAUCAGCAUGCCGCGGUGAAUACGUUCCCGGGCCUUGCACACACCGCCCGUCA
rnacentral:rRNA from 1 species